AGCGAACGCUGGCGGCAGGCCUAACACAUGCAAGUCGAACGGAUCCUUCGGGAUUAGUGGCGGACGGGUGAGUAACACGUGGGAACGUGCCCUUUGGUUCGGAACAACUCAGGGAAACUUGAGCUAAUACCGGAUGUGCCCUUCGGGGGAAAGAUUUAUCGCCAUUGGAGCGGCCCGCGUCUGAUUAGCUAGUUGGUGAGGUAACGGCCCACCAAGGCGACGAUCAGUAGCUGGUCUGAGAGGAUGAUCAGCCACACUGGGACUGAGACACGGCCCAGACUCCUACGGGAGGCAGCAGUGGGGAAUCUUGCGCAAUGGGCGAAAGCCUGACGCAGCCAUGCCGCGUGAAUGAUGAAGGUCUUAGGAUUGUAAAAUUCUUUCAGCGGGGACGAUAAUGACGGUACCCGCAGAAGAAGCUCCGGCUAACUUCGAG
rnacentral:rRNA from 1 species